AGCUGAGAAGAGCAAUGGGUGACCUCAGAUGGAUGAAAGUUUGUUUAUUUGUGAUGCUAGAGCUUCAUUCUACAGUGUUUGCAGAUGAAGUAGCUGCUUGGAUAAGAUCUGGAGAUACCAUGGUUUUGUCCUGCCAAUGUUUGAUUAGUGGUCAAACAAACUGUAAUGGCACCACAUGGGUCUUCAGUUCAAGGAACUCCUUAGUAGAGCUGGUUAAACUCGGAAAGAUUGACCCAAAUCUGCAAAAUAAAUCAAACAGACUGAGUUUAGAAAGCUGUUCUCUGGUAAUAAGGAAUGUCAGAGUGGAGGAUGCUGGUCAUUAUCAUUGCCAACAAUACAAAUCUGGAAGCAAACCAGAUUAUCACAUCCUGGUUCAUCAGUGUGGAGUUGAUCUGUCUGUCGUCCACGUUGAAAUAAUAGCUGAAACCACAUGCAGCCCAACCAGAGAAAUUGAAGAAAGAACAGAA